GUUCGUAACGCAUGGUGUCCAUAUGCAUUGAACUUUUUAACACCUCUCUACAAACAUUAAAUAAUUUGUCAAGUUCAAUUUCUGUGUUUAAUUGAUGAGUAUGUGUGAUAAAUUAUUUUUAACAAUAUGCUUCAUGAACAUAACUCAGUUCUUUUUGUAAUUUUAAAAUGAUCUCUGAUUGUAAAAUGUUUGGUGUCUUGACCGUUACGAACAUAAUAGCUUUCAGUAUAAUUGCUAAAAUAACAGCCAAUGAAUCAUAAGUUUGGCUCAGGAAGUCCGUAGCAGUGGUAUAAUUAUAAAUUGAAAACGAAAGUAGAAAGGUUGCGCAGCUGUCUGCAAAAAAACAUGGCAAUGCUCAUUGUGUCCACGUGGAAGACAGAAGUUACGUACAUAAUAGAUGCGAUUUACAAGAAAUGACUGAAUAAUGUUCGUAACAAUGACACAAAGAUCCAAGACUCAAAAUAGAAGACCUAGGAUAUUUAGCAAUCCAUCUGAAAAUUUACUUGUCUGCAUUAAUUCUCUUUGAAAGCUAGUCUAUUAUUAAGCUUUGGAAUGAAAUAUUAAAAGUAUUAAAGACAAG